rnacentral:rRNA from 1 species
UGAGGGAAUAUUGGGUCAAUGGGCGAGAGCCUGAACCAGCCAAGUAGCGUGCAGGAUGACGGCCCUAUGGGUUGUAAGCUGCUUUUAUAAGGGAAUAAAGUGAGCCUCGUGAGGCUUUUUGCAUGUACCUUAUGAAUAAGGACCGGCUAAUUCCGUGCCAGCAGCCGCGGUAAUACGGAAGGUCCAGGCGUUAUCCGGAUUUAUUGGGUUUAAAGGGAGCGUAGGCCGUUUUUAAGCGUGUUGUGAAAUACUGUCGCUCAACGACAGAGGUGCAGCGCGAACUGGAGGACUUGAGUGCGCGGAAUGUAGGCGGAAUUCGUCGUG